ACUAGCAUAUCAAUAAGCGGAGGAAAAGAAACCAACAGGGAUUGCCCUAGUAACGGCGAGUGAAGCGGCAACAGCUCAAAUUUGAAAUCUGGCCUCGGCCCGAGUUGUAAUUUGCAGAGGAUGCUUCUGGCGCGGUGCCUUCCGAGUUCCCUGGAACGGGACGCCACAGAGGGUGAGAGCCCCGUAUGGUCGGACACCAAGCCUGUGUGAAGCUCCUUCGACGAGUCGAGUAGUUUGGGAAUGCUGCUCUAAAUGGGAGGUAAAUCUCUUCUAAAGCUAAAUACCGGCCAGAGACCGAUAGCGCACAAGUAGAGUGAUCGAAAGAUGAAAAGCACCUUGAAAAGGGGGUUAAAUAGUACGUGAAAUUGUUGAAAGGGAAGCACUUAUGACCAGACUUGGGCCGGGCGGCUCAUCAGGGGUUCUCCCCUGUGCACUCCGCCCGGCACAGGCCAGCAUCGGUUUUCGCGGGGGGAUAAGACCGGCGGGAACGUAGCACCCUCCGGGGUGUGUUAUAGCCCACCGGACGAUACCCUCGCGGGGACCGAGGUCCGCGCUCCGCAAGGAUGCUGGCGUAAUGGUCAUCAGUGACCCGUCUUGAAACACGGACCAAGGAGUCGUCCAUUAGAGCGAGCGUUUGGGUGUAAAACCCGCACGCGUAAUGAAAGUGAACGCAGGUGAGAGCUUCGGCGCAUCAUCGACCGAUCCUGAUGUUCUCGGAAGGAUUUGAGUAAGAGUUUUAACGGACGGACCCGAAAGACAGUGAACUAUGCUUGUAUAGGGUGAAGCCAGAGGAAACUCUGGUGGAGGCUCGCAGCGGUUCUGACGUGCAAAUCGAUCGUCAAAUAUGAGCAUGGGGGCGAAAGACUAAUCGAACUGUCUAGUAGCUGGUUACCGCCGAAGUUUC
rnacentral:rRNA from 1 species